UACGAAGGGAGCUAGCGUUGUUCGGAAUCACUGGGCGUAAAGCGCACGUAGGCGGAUUUGUCAGUCAGGGGUGAAAUCCCGGGGCUCAACCUCGGAACUGCCUUUGAUACAGCAAGUCUUGAGUUCGAGAGAGGUGGGUGGAAUUCCUAGUGUAGAGGUGAAAUUCGUAGAUAUUAGGAAGAACACCGGUGGCGAAGGCGGCCCCACUGGCUCGAUACUGACGCUGAGGUGCGAAAGCGUGGGGGAGCAAACAGG
rnacentral:rRNA from 1 species